UCUCUGCUAACAAUCUGCUCAAUUCUUUCUGAACAGUUAUCAUAGGAUAUAUGCCUAAUUUUUAACCAAAGCAUCUGUCUGUAGUAUUGGCUGCAUGUAUUAGAAAUCACUGCUUCAUACCUAUCAAGUCUCAGAAUGCAAGUAAAACUGGCCCUUUUUAUGGAUGGUGAAACUACAUUUCUUGAAACAGUCUUGCUCUAUGGGGUCUGAUUUGAAGAUAGGGGCACAAUUCUAACUGGGACACUCGGGACAGAAGGCCAUGACAGUGAUAAGCAGUGGAAUGCAAAACUGCAAGCUUACAGCUAUUUGCAAUCAAUAGCGCCUUCUGAAAACACUUGAAACAGUAGAGCCAUGUGGCUAGAAAGUGAUACAGAGGAAGACUAUUCACUCCAGUUUCCAUCCUAAAUAAGUUAAAUGCAUGUUUGCAGUUCAUUGGGCUAAAAUGUUAAUUCUUGUUGAAAUAGCUAUAUUUGGAGUUACUUGUAAGUAUGGUACAAAAUGCCGUCUUCUCCAUUCACAAAGAUUAACUUUAUUGAAAAAUUAUACAAAUAAUUUUCUCAUUCAGACCAUCCUUUUAGAUAUAGUUUUUUGUUGGUACCAGGUACAGAGUAAAAAGACAUUUGUGUUUAUGUGGGAUGCACUCUGCAGAGGUCUCGCUGUAUAGAUGGGACCUACUGAUGCUACUUCUAGCAAAAUAAUAAUGCUACUAGUAAUCAACAGAAAAAGGACUUCAUCAAGGCUCAGAAAGUGAUAUGUCACCCAAGGGAUGUAGUAUUAUAUUUUUAGCAUUUCUUCUCAAACUCAACUGUACCAGCUUCCUGUUGCUUCUUCACCAGUCUGACUUCGGCAUUCAGAUAUUUGUUCAGUUCCAGGUUUUUUGUAUGUUUGUGUUUUAGGCUUGAGCUUUGGGAAUAAUUAUGUAGUUUGAGGUCCUUCUCCUAGCUCAUCUUAAGUUCAUGUGUCAUUUUCAAGUCUGAGUUUCUUUCCUUCUCAAGUAAAUUCAUUAGUCUGACUGCUUGACUUUAGCACAGUUCAGGUUGCUUAUCUGCAGAGAUAUGAGACCAAGCAGAUCUGCUAACAUGCAAAACUAAGAUAAAAGCAUUAAAAAAAAAAAAAGUCUUCCUGCAAACGGGCCUGCUUUAUAAUAAACCAGAACAGUGCAUGAAUUAAGAUGUUGUUGAAAUGCUUGAGUGUCUCUGCCCUUUUAUUACAUCCAGGGUGAUGAGGUCAUGGCUUACUGUUUAGCUUAUAUGGUGCAAUUAAGAGAUUCAUUUCUUAAUGUGAUUCAUCUCAGGAAGAGUUGACUCAAAAGUUUUAGGGGAGAGGCAAGAUGUUGGAAAAUUAUGGUUUUCUUUUGGAAGUUUGAGUUCGUUUUUUCAUUCCAGGCGAGAAUAAGAACUGCAAUAAGCAAGUAUCAGAUUACUUAGUAGCAGGGAAUUUGAUUACUUAAUGCCAGUAAAGCUAAGGAGAUAGUUUUGGUUCUUGGCUCUUUUUCCCUCUUUGGAAUGGUGGCAAAAAUUUCAACUAAAUAUUUGUUUUAUUAAGAGAUCCUUAGAUCUCUGUGUGUAGAGGUGUUUAAAUGAAACACUAUCUCAAAUGUGUGUGUGUGUAUAUAUAUACACACAAGUAUGCAUUAUAUUUAUAUUAUAUAUUUAUUUGUAUUAUGUGUUUGUAUCAUUUUUAUGUCUGUAUCAUUUUUAUUGUGUUGUUUAUCUAUUGAGCCUUGGCUGAAUCCUUUUAAAUGUAGCUCUUAAGACCCUACUGCUAGAAAAGAGCUCAUCUCUCCAUUUGGUCAGGGUAACAGUUCUCAAUCAAGAGUCAAACACUUCACAAGUAUGUGUGAAUAUAGAAAUACUGAGAAGCAACAGAUUAGGCCAUUUCUAUUCUUUUAUGAAAGAUGUAUUCAGGGCCUCAGUUUGGGUGACAUUUACUGAGGUUCCUUCCUUCCCUCCAAGUCUUCCUUGCCUGUGAUUCUCAAGUUAGUGUUUCAUCCAUGGUUUAGCUUUUAGUGAAAAUUCAUAAUUCCUGUGCUGGUCAAUUCCAUCGUAAGAACUAUUUAUGAAAUACUAGUCUUAUCUAAGGCUUUGUGCUAGGCACCCAGGACCAUCUUUAGAGGGAUUAACUACUAUCUCUGUCCUUUAGGAAGAGAUGGAAAAUUCUACAAUAGUGAAUACAAGUCAGAUUGGGACAAAUAUAAUAGAGAGGUAAACAAAGUGUUAUAUGUGCUUAAAGGAGGAAGCAAUUUAUUUUGCCUUGGAAUCAGGUAAGGCUUCCUAGAGGUGUGACAUUUGGAUUAUUCUUUAGAGGAGAAGAAAGAUUUGAAUAGAUGGAGCUAGAGGAAAAAAUCCAAAACUCUGGAAGUGUGAAAGCCAAUGACAUGAUCCAGGAAAGGAGAUGAGUGAGUCUGUUUUGGGUAGAGCAUUAGCUGUGUAUGAAGAGAAAGUGGCAGUACUUUUUGAAGUUUAGAGCAAUUUCAGUUUAUUAGUGGCUUUGAAUAUUGUGCUGGAGAAUUUGGACUUUAUUCUAAAAAUACCCUAGAAAGGGCUAGUAAAAGCUUCUGGACUGACAGGGUGUGCCAAGUGAUUAUAGCUGUACCUCAGAAAGGUUAGCGAUAUGAAAGAUGACUUGGGGCAGAGAGACAAGCAAGUAGUGACAGGACAUCCAUUGGGUGCUGUUACAAUAAUAUAACUGUAGAUGACAUGACAUGGGACAGUGACAUUAGAAACAGAAUUGAGAGCAUAAUCUAAGAGACAUUCUGAAUCUAGAAUUAGAUGUGGUGGAAUACACAAAUGACUGAAGUCUCUACUUCAGGUGAUUCAAAAAUGGAGAAGCCAUGAGCUAAGAUAAGGAAAUUUAGGAGGUUUGAAGGAGAAACCAAUGAAUACUUCAACUGAUAUUUUUUAACACACUUUGAUUAUAUACACCAUUUCUUUCCCUUUUAAAAAAAAGUAAUAGUUAUUUCCUCAAUACAUUUUUUUCUACUGUACAGCAUGGUGACCCAAUUACACAUACAUGUACACAUUCUAUUUUUGCACAUUAUCAUGCUCCAUCAUAAGUGACUAGACACAGUUCCCAGUGCUACACAGCAGGAUCUCAUUGCUAAUCCAUUCCAAAGGCAAUAGUUUGUAUCUAUUAACCCCAAGCUCCCCAACCACCCCACUCCCUCCCCCUCCCCCUUGGCAACCACAAGUCUAUUCUGCAAGUUCAUGAUGUUUUUUUCUGUGGAAAGGUUCAUUUGUGCCAUAUAUGAGAUUCCAGAUAUAAGUGAUAUCAUAUGUCUUUGUCUUUCCCUUUUUUGAUAUCAUAUGUAUUUGUCUUUCCCUUUUUUGAAGACAAGCAUUUUACAGCUGUUUGUUCUAGAUUCCAUUAUUAGAAUUAUACCCUAUUUUGUUUCUGACGCAAGACCUUGACACUUCUUCAUUCCUCAAAGAAAUAGGAAAAAAGGUAUGUUUUUCAGUCUGUCACUUCUAAACAUAUUUCUGUUUUUACCCUAAUCUCAGGUAUUUCUGAAGAGUAUCUUGAGCCAUACUCAAGACAGACUCUUUGACCUAAUUCCCUUUCCUCUGACCACAGUCUUGAGGAUGAGACAACUUUAAAUCUUUACUAAUGCUUAUAGGAUUCUCAGAGUUAGACAGAAUUGGCCUUUAGAAGGCUAAAAUUGGAGCCAAAGUGGAUUCUUGGAUCAUGUAUCUCUUGCUGUCUAUGAAACUGCCAGAUUCCAUCCCAGUGGGUGGAAAUGGACACCAGCUCCCGAGGAAGUGAUGACUGCACACGGGUGUCUGCUACCUCUGCCGGUUUCUUUUCUCAAGGAGGAAGGAAACUGUGGGCUUCCCUAGGCACUCUCUUUUUCUUUUAACACAGGAGAACUGGAGAGACUUGGCCUUUGGAGUUUGGAUAGUGAACCUAAGGCUGGAGGGGUUUCCAGAGAGCAGACAGUUGCCAUCUCUGAACGUUGUUGCUUUCUUUUUCCACCCGCUUUCCUGUGCUGUACAGUUCAUUUCAUCUCCAGAAUUUUAGUGCACAGUGUUAGGACAUCUUAGUGGAGAGCUGGGAGUUCAAAGGCAAUGCAAGGGUUCAUGGUAGAGACGCCAAAAUGGAAGGAAGGGACUGUGCCAUUGUGCUGUUUUCUUGCAGAUGAAGUGUAAUUUAUAUAAAUAUUCAGACUCUUUCCUAACUCGUUUCUUUAUUAGAUUUGCAUAUCCAAUGACUGGUCCUCCUUAAAGAGGUGAAAAGUGGAGUUCCCGUCAUGGUGCAGUGGGUAAUGAAUCCUACGAGGAACCAUGAGGUUGCAGGUUCGAUCCCUGGCCUUGCUCAGUGGGUUAAGGAUCCAGUGUUGCCAUGAGCUGUGGUGUAGGUCACAGACGCAGCUUGGAUCUCACAUUGCUAUGGCUCUGGCGAAGGCCAGUGGCUACAGCUCUGAUUAGACCCCUAGCCUGGGAACCUCCGUAUGCCUCA
rnacentral:lncRNA from 1 species